rnacentral:rRNA from 1 species
CCACCCCACCCCAAUCCCUCCAGCCGCCACUGCCCCACCCAUGUUUCUCCUCCACCCCCUCCUCUCUCUCCUCUCCUCCCUCCUCAUCCGCGCGCGCACAUCACCCAGCGCUCGCGUGCUCGCCUCCCGGACCAGUCACUGCCGCGCCGCUGGGGCUCGUCCGCCGCGGGUUUCCACGGGGAAGGAGCCGCGACGGGGGUAGGCCCCAGGCGGUGCACACUUCAUGGGGAGGCAAGGAACUAGGAGGCGAUGGGGUCGGAUCUGGUGGUGCUAGGUCGGAGCUCGAUCCCCCGCCUCCCGAACCAGCCGUCGCCGCGUCGCUGGGGCUCGUCCGCCGCGGGUUUCCAUGGGGAAUCACCACAACAGCAGCACGCCUCCCUCCUUCCUCCUCAUCGCCAGAGCCGCCGCACCUCUCCUUCCUCCUCGCUCUCACCCUUGCCGCGGCGCGCAUCCCUCCCCUUUCGAUCUAAUUUCAUUCUUGUUUCACAUGUUGGUUUGGUUGGCAAGAGACGUUGCAGCGCCGACUGCAGUAGCCAGGGUUGGCGUUGGUGAUGUCUGUAGGUAUUUUCGUCCUUGCUAGUCACACAUUUCCUAGGUUAUGGGAUUGGAUAUCCGUUUUCUAAGAUUCUUAGCUGAUAAGUAUAUUGUGCGGAAAAGUCUCUACAGAAUGAUGUUGUGCACAUCCAAAUCCAAGCAAUCUGGAUACUCCAUGGGGCAAAGUUGAAGCUUUGUACAUCACUUCUCUCCCUUUGUUUAUUAACGUUUCUUCAUGUUUGGAAGUGAUAUGGGUUUCCAUGUACUUGAUAGAUGCAUUCCUUAUCUUUAUGUGUUUCAUCUAUGUAUAUAUGUUUCUGCCCAUAAAUGUAUUUAUGAGCUGACUCCAUUUUUUACCGCUUUUCUGUGGCAAUUUGAAAAGGACCCUUCCAUGGUGCUCAGCCACCGUCCGAUUUCGAGGGAGAAUAGGAGACACCGACGAAAGCGAGUGUCCUAGCGGCGAACCCAAGGAUGCGUGGUGAUUAUGCCAGCUCCAUGCUCCAGUUCUUCUAUUGGGGGUUCGCUCAAUUCAUGUGCUUGGGAUUUGUUUUGAUUGACGGACCUUAAAGCUAAUGCAAUAAUGCAUGAACUUGCCAAAAGGUACACAUUGACUUGGUUACUACAUCUAAAUCAGUAAAAGAGCUUCUGAUUAACCUAUGAGAGGUUGCUAAGUACCUAAGAAAUGACAUUGUAUGGUUUAUUGGCCUAAUAGGUUCUAUUUGAGCCUAAAACUAAUAAGCAUGCCCAAGGAUGCAUCUUUUUUAUCAGUUAUGAUAAGAGUGUAAAUAGCAUUGAUACUUUGUAUAGAACGAUUAACAAAACACUAAGUUGAUGAUCAGUAUUUUGGCCUUACUUAUUGUUUAUCUUGGUCUCCACUGUUUAUCUUGAUUUACAAUGCUGAAGGUGGCUAAAAUGCACACUAAUUGGCGUUAUGUUCUGAAAUUAUGGUUCCGCCACAUUAAAGAUUGAUCUAUAAUAAUUGUAUAUGAAAAUAAAGUCCUCUGCUAUGCAAAUAACACUUGGUUUAAAUCGGGAACUCAUGCCAAGGAUUGAGUCAUAGCUUUUGUAUGCAUCCCUAUCACUAUCACUCAUGCUUUUGUUUUAGGUACAGAUUUGUAGAUGGUAGGCAUUCUUAUGCGUAUCCGCUUCCCUCUUCUUCCUUACAUAACAUGCAAGGUUAUCAUUAGUCUAGGUUAAAGCAAUUUUUGUGAUCAGGCAGAGCAUCAACAUUUGAGAUGCAAAUAUAGACGUCCGAGAAAACCCAUGCAUAUAAUUUGAUGGCAAAGAAACCAGAGAACACAUGAAUGAUGUUAUCUUGAUGUUGGUGCCUUAAACUACUACACCUAGCAUAUUUCAAAUGCAAUACCUGCCAAUCUGGAGCUACCAAAAAAGUCCUAUGUAGUUAUACACAUCAUGGCUUCAACAAUUUUACUUGAAAAUGCACUAACCAUUAAUUAAUAAUGACAAGAUGGAUGCUCUUAUCUUAGAAUAUGCUCUAAAACCUGAAAAAUAUGAUAAUGAACCUGUCUCAUCCUUACCACCAGGACACUCUGUUUAUCAGGGUCGUUUUAGUUUUCAAGUGUCAUCAGUGAUACAUGGAUGGAUGGUGUCGUCACUGCUCCACUGCCCCAUGUUUUGGUUGUUUUGGUCCACGCUUGAGGCAAGGUUAGAUUUGUUCUGAUUGCUAGCCAGUUUGUGGGGUUUUCCUUUGGAGCUCAUCAUAAAAAUUGUGGUUUUAAUACAGUGUGUACCGCAAUAUCCUGCUGGUUUGUUUCAUGCUUGAUUGAGUGCUCAUGUGCCAUUGGUUCAUAUCCAUGUUUGUAAGGCUUUAUUGCUCCAUUAAAAUGACUUUCUUCAGUUAAAUGUGGUUCUAAUCCGGUUUGUACAGAAAUAUCGUUAUUGAGUACCAUGAUCCCGUCGUUUAGGUGCACUUAAAAUUCUGAAUUGUGCUCGCUGAGUGCCUUCUUUUUUACUACCUUUCAUUGGUGUAGAUGCAAGCUAUAGAGGUUUGUUGAACAAUCUGGUUAUAGCUUUAUUCUCUUAUUUUCUUGCUCAUUGCCACGUUGUUUUAGUUACCAGCAGGCCAUGUGAAAAUAAGCAAGCUUCUUAUUGGGAUAUAUUUUUGUAACACUGUGUUCUGUACAACAAAAGCUUUUUCCUGCUAUGUAAAUAACAUUUUGUGUCCAAAAUCAUACUGAACUCAUUGUUUGUUACCUAUAUUACUGGUUUGGAUGCUUUAAGAAGGUGAUUAUAACAUGUUUGCAUUCAUAUCUCUGGCCAUCUGCGAUGAAUUUUUUUGUUAAUUGCUCAUGACUUAUUUCAGAAAACCAAAUAUGCACCAUGUCGAUAUGCUUCAUGACGAAACCACUUGCUUUCAUAUGUAUUGGACUACUGCAUCAUCGUCUUCGUCAAUGGGAGGAUGAAAUCAGUAGUAGCACCAGCCCGCUAGCGAGGAAGGCUGCUCGGAUCUGCUGUCGUGCCCACCUACAACUUCUGUAGGUUGUUCGACCACUUAGAGAACUUCUGGUGGCCAUAAGCAAUCUUAGUUGCUCACUGUGAUAAUCUGAAUGUAUGCAGUUUCCCUCUUUGCAUGUGUGCUUCCGUGUCUUUCCUGGUAUAUUCUCAGUCUAUGGAAUGGUCAUAUUAGGCAUGUAGUUUAUUUUAUUUUUUGUAUAAAAGCUUGGUACUAACAUACAAAUAUGAUUAUUUUUUCAAUUUCUCAAUGUGGUGACCAUAUUUUCAACUAUGAAAAUGCUUCCUUAACUGGUCUAUACAUAUUAUACAAAUAUGUUUUUUUUUUCAAACUUAGAUUCCUUACCGUGAUAAACAUGUUAUUUUUAAUAUAGCAUGAUUUAACACAUGUGCUUUAUACUACCAAUAUUGACAUGUUCUUGCAAAAUGAGACUAUUUUCAUCGACAACAUGGC